rnacentral:rRNA from 1 species
GAUGAACGCUGGCGGCGUGCCUAAUACAUGCAAGUCGAGCGAACAGACGAGGAGCUUGCUCCUCUGACGUUAGCGGCGGACGGGUGAGUAACACGUGGAUAACCUACCUAUAAGACUGGGAUAACUUCGGGAAACCGGAGCUAAUACCGGAUAAUAUAUUGAACCGCAUGGUUCAAUAGUGAAAGACGGUUUUGCUGUCACUUAUAGAUGGAUCCGCGCCGCAUUAGCUAGUUGGUAAGGUAACGGCUUACCAAGGCAACGAUGCGUAGCCGACCUGAGAGGGUGAUCGGCCACACUGGAACUGAGACACGGUCCAGACUCCUACGGGAGGCAGCAGUGGGGAAUCUUCCGCAAUGGGCGAAAGCCUGACGGAGCAACGCCGCGUGAGUGAUGAAGGUCUUCGGAUCGUAAAACUCUGUUAUUAGGGAAGAACAAAUGUGUAAGUAGCUAUGCACGUCUUGACGGUACCUAAUCAGAAAGCCACGGCUAACUACGUG